GACGAACGCUGGCGGCGUGCCUAAUACAUGCAAGUAGAACGCUGAAGGAAGGAGCUUGCUCUUUCUGGAUGAGUUGCGAACGGGUGAGUAACGCGUAGGUAACCCGCCUGGUAGCGGGGGAUAACUAUUGGAAACGAUAGCUAAUACCGCAUAAAAUUGAUUAUUGCAUGAUAGUCAAUUAAAAGGUGCAACUGCACCACUACCAGAUGGACCUGCGUUGUAUUAGCUAGUUGGUGGGGUAACGGCUCACCAAGGCGACGAUACAUAGCCGACCUGAGAGGGUGAUCGGCCACACUGGGACUGAGACACGGCCCAGACUCCUACGGGAGGCAGCAGUAGGGAAUCUUCGGCAAUGGACGGAAGUCUGACCGAGCAACGCCGCGUGAGUGAAGAAGGUUUUCGGAUCGUAAAGCUCUGUUGUAAGAGAAGAACGAGUGUGAGAGUGGAAAGUUCACACUGUGACGGUAGCUUACCAGAAAGGGACGGCUAACUACGUG
rnacentral:rRNA from 1 species